rnacentral:rRNA from 1 species
UACAGAGGGUGCGAGCGUUGUCCGGAAUCACUGGACGUAAAGGGCGCGUAGGCGGCCUGAUAAGUAGGGGGUGAAAUCCUGCGGCUUAACCGCAGGGCUGCCUUCUAAACUGUCAGGCUUGAGCACAGUAGAGGCAGGUGGAAUUCCCGGUGUAGCGGUGGAAUGCGUAGAGAUCGGGAAGAACAUCAGUGGCGAAGGCGGCCUGCUGGGCUGUUGCUGACGCUGAGGCGCGACAGCGUGGGGAGCAAACAGG